UAGCUAAUCCUGGUCGGACAUCAGGAGGUUAGUGCAAUGGCAUAAGCUAGCUUGACUGCGAGCGUGACGGCGCGAGCAGGUGCGAAAGCAGGUCAUAGUGAUCCGGUGGUUCUGAAUGGAAGGGCCAUCGCUCAACGGAUAAAAGGUACUCCGGGGAUAACAGGCUGAUACCGCCCAAGAGUUCAUAUCGACGGCGGUGUUUGGCACCUCGAUGUCGGCUCAUCACAUCCUGGGGCUGAAGUAGGUCCCAAGGGUAUGGCUGUUCGCCAUUUAAAGUGGUACGCGAGCUGGGUUUAGAACGUCGUGAGACAGUUCGGUCCCUAUCUGCCGUGGGCGCUGGAGAAUUGAGGGGGGCUGCUCCUAGUACGAGAGGACCGGAGUGGACGCAUCACUGGUGUUCGGGUUGUCAUGCCAAUGGCACUGCCCGGUAGCUAAAUGCGGAAGAGAU
rnacentral:rRNA from 1 species